CUGCUGUUCUGCUGUCCCCGUCCCUUUAAAUUGCCUGUGUGGAGUACGUGCCCUGCGACUUCACGUAACCCCAGUCAAUUGACUGUGCUUGGCCAAUUACGUAAUUGAGCACAGGUGUUUAAUCAGACUGUGGCGUCUUCCUCAUUCAGAAGUGUGGGGAAGCUGAUCGACAGUUGUGGAUAGGUUUGUGUCAUACAAACUAUUCACUCUGGUGCUCAAUUCAUGUUUUUAAGUUAAGUAUAUUAUUGUAACUUUUAGAACAACUUAACUGGCUGCAGGGAAUUCGUCACCGCCAUCAGGGUAUGUUUACAUAGAGGAACUGGCCAGGUUCUCUCUCUCUAGAGAUGAAUGAUGGCGAGCUGAAUUACUAUGGCUAGGAGCCUAACAUCUGAGCAGCAUCUACUGAACAGCCAUCCUAUUGGUCUGGUAGGAAGGUUGUCUGCAGCUUGUCCCCAACACACGUCUCCAUAGACUAGCGCUUCAGUCCCACAUGCACAUCCUUUCCCUGGACAAUAACCAAUGGACUUAUUAAUAUAAAUUCUCAUAAACUCUUGUGGGUUGUCGUGUUAGUCUUCAAGAAACCAAACAUCGCUGGGACAGUUUUUUUCUCUUUUCUUUUUUGCUCUUGUGUGUGGUAUUUGCUGUAAUUUCUGUUGUUGUAUCUUACUUGAACAAUAACUUCAAAGUGCACUUGAUUAUAAUCGGUUCAACUGCAGUCUGUAAAUAUUUUGUGUUUCUCCUAUGUUUUUCUUUCGUUAUUUUUGGUUGUAAAUAUUGUUUAAUCACUUUAAUACAUGGUACCUACACCAAAUUUAAAAUUAUGUUUCUGUGUUACUGACCACCAGCUCCUAUAGCCGAAUUUAGACUUCUGUGAGUUAAUUGGCCUAUGUUGUUUAUUUCCAUAGCUACCUAUUCAACCUAUUAUAGCUAAUAUUAAUGACAUAAUAUUGGCCAGCAGGUCUCAAAGACCCGUUACAU
ensembl:lncRNA